GAGGUGGCGGUUUGCUCGCUGGGUGCUAUGUACUGAGCGCUUACCCGUGCAGAACAAUGCGCUAAACGCUGGGGCGAGUGCAACACCCUCCUAUAGCAGGCGCAUUCCCUGCCCCCCCACGAGGCGGAGGAACAGUUGUUGCCUUGGGGGGAGGCUCGAGCCUGAUAAGUCGAGCUCGGGCCUUGCUUUUGGUUCAUUCGAUAGUACUUAUUGAGCGCUUACCAUGUGCAGAGCACUGGACUAAGCGCCUGGAAGGGACAAUUCGGCCACCCCUCCAUUGCUACGGACCCAGGGUGCCCAGCGGACCCCAGGUGUGACCCCUGCUGAUGCCCUGGAGGAUCCGGCCGCCCGGCAGAUGGAGAGGAGCUAGUAUCUGCAGGGAGGACAGUUUCCCCCAAGGUUGCCAGGUAAGUUAUCCACAGGUCUCCAUCUCAAGCACCAACAUAUGUUCGCAAGCAGCAUGGCUUACUGGAUAAAGCACGGGCCUGGGAACCAGAAGGACUGGGUUCUAAUCCCGGCUCUGU